rnacentral:rRNA from 1 species
GCGUUAAGCGUCGGGGAGCGGCAAACACGCUUUGAUCCGGCGAUUUCCGAAUGGGGAAACCCAUCUCGAGUAAUAUCGGGAUAUCGGCACCUGAAUACAUAGGGUGCUCGAGGCGAUACCCAGGGAAGUGAAACAUCUCAGUACCUGCAGGAAAAGAAAACAAAAGUGAUUCCCAUAGUAGCGGCGAGCGAACUGGGAACAGCCUAAACCAAUAUAGUGUCAUGACUGUCAUUUUAGCAAUAUCGGGGUUGCGGGAAGCGACUGGAAGGUGUGACAGAACCUUCGGCGAGUCAGAAAACUUUUGCUUAGAAGAAUUGAAUCAGGAAAGGUUCAGCCAUAGAGGGUGAUAGCCCCGUAUUCGAAAAGUAAUGGUCUCGUUGGAUUAUUUUCUCAAGUAGGGCGGAACACGAGAAAUUCCGUUUGAAUCUGCCAGGACCACCUGGUAAGGCUAAAUACUCUCAUAUGACCGAUAGUGUAACAGUACCGUGAGGGAAAGGUGAAAAGUACCCCGAGAGGGGAGUGAAAUAGAACCUGAAACCGAAUGUCUACAAGCUGUCGAAGUCCGCAAGGACGACGGCGUGCCUUUUGC